CACAAGCAGACGCAGCUCAGUCACAAACUGUUCAAACGAUUCGCUAGCUCCCUGUACUUUCUCAUGGAAUUUGUACCUAGCGAAAAUCCUAUUGGUCUUCGGCACAACAUAUGCUUCAAAACGAUCGUAGUAUGUUUUCAGUACCUUUGAUUCAGUCUCGGUAAGUGUCAUGUGUUAUAAAUAUCUCUCCCUUUUUCACCAAUCCAGAGGAGCAGGUGGCUGCGCUUUUCCUCUUUCCUUCAGAGGACCCGUGAACAUUAGCUCCACAUGCUGUUUGAACUUACGCCAUGCAUCGGGAAAGCCUUGAUUCCUCCACAUCCUCUCUCAUCGGCUCCUCAAAACACAUUUGUGGAGAAGGUCUGAGGGGAGGGAACUUAGACCUUCUUCUCCAAUACAGUUGAGAAGGAGGUGAGUACAUAAGAUGUUAGGAAUUGAGGAUGAAUUGAGAUAGGGCCAUUAAGUACUAUGUCAUGGGCAUCCCAAUCUUUCAGAUGGUUUAUUAAGUCCAUUCAAACUAAAGUCUUAUAAUCAAACGUAUCUAUUAGCAGCAAGCAGAAAAUCGGAUUAUUGGGGAAUAACUGGAAUCUCCGGAGACGGUUAUUGACUAGAACAUGUAGAAAGAUCUGCAUUGUGUCACGAACCAGCUCGUAACCCGUAACAAAGAGGGAGACAAUGUGGAGAUAAGGAAUAACAAAAAUAUAUUGAUUAACUGAGGUAACCUAUAUACAAAUAAACAAUGGUGUGUGUGUGUGUAGUCAGUAAUCAGUAGUGUAAUUGAGUGGUUGCGUGUAUAGAUGGGAUAAUGAGGAGUGUUGAACGAUGCCAAAGCAAACAAACCGGCCACAAAAAUGCCACAGCCAAAUUAAAAAGGUGUCUGCAUGGAGAGAGUCUCCUCAAUGAAUGGGGAAAACGUGUAUUUAUCCCGGAACACACCCGGGCCCAGGUGUGUCCCAUUUCGCUGACGACCCUCCCGGCUCCGCCCACAGACAUCCUAUUAGGAGGGUCGUCACAAUUGGCCCAGAUAGCCCUCAGGCCCUUAAUAGAAGAACAUCUAUCAUCAACAAGUUACAUAUUAUAACCAGUGGUGUGUAUUCAUGGAUGCAAAGGGAAGCCAGGCUUCCCCAAGUAUUUGACCAAUAAUUUUUUUUACAUUAUAAAAUAAUUUCUCUUUCGGCUCUCUCUGUGUUUUCAUAAUUGUACGUCAAUGGAAACAGCGCCCCUCUAUCUCAGUAUGUGUAGCCCAUGUCUCUGAUGCUGUCUUGACCAAAAGAGUAUAACAUGUUGCCGCCUUAGCAUUUUAUUGAUUGAUGCCAGCAAUCAUUUGGCCUCCCUUGAAUCAGUGUUGAGCUCAACUGUGGGUUGUCCUGGUGCAUCAAAAGCCCCCCAAGAGAGGCCAGUUUGGAUUUGGCUUCAUACCAAUCAAAUCACUUCCUUUGAAAAACAUAAUUUUCAGAAAAACGUGUCUGUUUCUGGUCUGCUUGUGUUGACGUGCUGCGGUUGCUAGCGUGCUAAAUGUAGCCUAGUAGGCUCACGUUAACUAGCUAGCUAGCUAGCUAGCUAAGUUGGUUCAUUGUUGCCCAUGCGAGGAAGUCAGGCUAGAAAGCAACCUAAACUAAAAGUGUACUGUAUGACAGAGCCAUAGACCGUUUUGCCAACAUGAAAGAGAAGAGGACGGCAUUGGCAUUCAACUAGUCUAUAAGUAGGGUGAGUAAAAAAUGCGCACGCAUGGAUGCCCAAACAUACAUACAUACACAGAAAUGAAUACCAUGGACAUCACAUGACAUUUAGCAACAUUGAUUGGACUAAAUUGUUUUUGGUAUCUUUAAGUGUAUUUUCAGUGUAUUAAAGUAAGCAUAUUUAGCCUUGUUGAUUUGAUGAUGUUUAAAUUGAAAAUGGUGCAGGGAUAGCAGUGCUCCUGUUGUCGUUGUACUGACUUGCAGUAACUCUGUGGCCCUAAAUCAGUAGUUGUUUAGUAAACUGUUGAAAACAUUAACUUGCUUGACCAUGCUGUAGGUGCUAACUAUUUGUAUGCAAUAUUUGCUAUGAUGACUUCUCCAGACAGGUGUUGCUCUCUGGUUUUGUGAUGAAACAAACGUCCGUGACGUUGAACUAACUCCGCCACUCUGUGACUGUUGUAUUUUUGUUGUCACGGCCUUGUUGUAUAUCACGUGGCGUAUGAAUGAAUUGGUUAUAGAGCAAACAGCGCAAUUAUCAUAACAUAGGUUGUAGUACGGAUUUUUACUGGAUUGGCUUCCUCAUUGAUUUGACCCACACACCACUACUGAUUGUAACAUGCUGUAAAAUGAUUGGCCACCCAGUCCUGGCACUCAGUGUGUGUGUGUGUGUGUUGGUGUAGGGUCUCCCUGCUCCAGGCCUCCAAUUACAAGCCAAACUCCUCAUCUGGAACACAGGCCAAAACACCUGUUCACAACAGCUGCUGAGAUCUCGAGGGAACAUUUUUGUGUUUGUGUCCUGAAGACACAUGUCUGAGGCCAGAGCUAAUACCUAGACAUACUGGAUGCAGAGACAUACAAAUAAUAUCCAUGCGUUCAUCUGACUUUGGGGUUUCUCAGAGUUAACCUUGGUGGUGUUGUCAGCAGAUGUCUGUGAAGAAGCAGAGUGGAGGGCAAUUUCCCCGGGGCUCCAAACUCUUCUGUGUUGGGCUGGGAUGGUCUCGGCUGGACUAGGCUGGGGAGAGAGGCAAUGAGGUGGGCAGAGGGACAGUAAUGAUGUGCAAUAUUCUUUCCAGUUGUUGACAGUAUGAGGACAUGUUCUCUGAAAUACACUAACAUACAGUACAUUUUUGACAGAAUGGGUUUCAAUAAUAUGGAUCGGAGGAUGAGGUAUACUCCCUGGGAAACAGUGACAAGUGUUAGUCCUGGCUAAAAUAAAUAAAGUGUUACAAUUAGGUAAUGGGAGUAUACUAUUUGUAUUUAUUAUGAAUCCCCACCCCCAGCUACACUUCCUGUGGUCCGGCAAAAUGAAGGCAGUUAUACAAUUUCAAAAACAUUACAAUACAUUCACAAAAGAUUUCACAACAUAUUAAGUGUGUGCCCUCAG